rnacentral:tRNA from 1 species
UGUGGCUCAGUAGUAGAGCGCUUGCCUAGCAUGCAUGAGGCACUGGGUUUGAUCCCUGCA